rnacentral:tRNA from 2 species
GCUCGGGUGGUGGAAUUGGUAUACACGAAGGACUUAAAAUCCUUUGGUCGCAAGACCUUGCGGGUUCAACUCCCGCCCCGAGCACCA